UCUUCCCCGCUGCUUUCCUACGCGAAGCAGCCUCGCAUUUUGAUACAUGACUUUUAUCUUUUUUGUUGUUCCUCCUUCCUCCAGUUCCCCCUUUUCCUUCUCAUCAAAGCAGGCAGCUGUUGCCUCAGGGGAGAAAUAGAGCAGAAGGGGAGCAAGCACUGGCUCUUAAGAGAUUGUAUAUUUCAAAUUUCUCUUGAAACUUCAGACCCACAUUUGUCGUUUGUCUGGAAAAAGAGAUCUGGCCAGCGUGGUCCCCUGUGCUCCCAGGAGGCUGCCCUCCCAUGGGCCUGGCAUGAACUUGCUGCCCCCCACACACCCCCUUCUUGCUGCCCGGUCUCAGCCAGUCCACGUGGCUCCUUUUCCUGACUAGCCUAGCCCCUGUGGGCAUCUGGGUGCUGGGGCCCCGGAGGAUGGUGCUGGAGGCAGCUUCAGUGAAGCUUCCAGGGUCUCAAGCAUGUUCUGAAGGCAACAGAGAUUCCGCUUCUGAAGGGGUCACGUGAACGGGAAGAACGGGCAUCUCAGGGUAACCCACGUGGACAGAUGCCCCACCCACCCCACCCACACUGACAUCUUGUGGCUGCGAGGCCCGAGGCCCGGCCGCAGAAAGGACUGUGCAAGUCAAGAAGCUCUGAAUCUGCUUUGGUGUUGGCUCGGCACAGCCAAACAGAGGGCACGAGUCAGAGAUUCAGUGGGUUAAGAAAAAUUUAAAAAACCUGGUGUGUAUCCUGAGCAACCCAGUUUGUGGAUGAGAUGAAAGUCUGAUGCCGCACAUUGGGGCCGGGUCCAGUUUGUCCCCCCAAGAAACAAAAAUACCAUUCUUAGGAGGGCUUUCUCACCUGUCAGGCAGAAUAGGGGGCCCUUUAUGCCCUCAAACUCCAAAGUGCGGGCCUCAGAAUCAUCGGGUGUUAAAACCUGUUAAAACACAGACUGCCGGGCCCAGCCUCCCAGCUUCUCAUUCAGCAGGUCGAGGGCGCCCCAAGAAUGUGUCUUUCUAAUGAGGUCCUAGAUAACGCUUAGGCUGCUGGUCUGGGGACCAGUCUUUGAGAAGCACCCAUUUAGACAAUCGUAUUAAUUAGUUCUCACAAUCUUAUUAGGUAGAAUCUAUCAUCCCCUUUUUAAGGAAGAAAAAAAAAGGUUCAUUUGCUUUCCUACGAAGUCAAGCCCGGCCACCAGGACGUGCAUCCCUCACCUUGCAGAGGUAACGUAUCUGAGGGGGAAGGGAUGGGAAGGGUAGGGGGCGGUGCUCACACCUGACUCCUCUCUUAGGAGGAGAGAGUAAAGAGUUCGGUAGUCCCCCCGCCCCCCUUAUCCGCGGUUUCGCUCUCCGCGGUUUCAGUUACCCGCGGGCAACCGCGGUCCAGACGCAGAUGACCCUCCUUCUGACUUACCAUCAGAAGGUCGUUAGUAGCCUAAUGUUACUACGGCACAACGCCUAUGUCAUUCACCUCAUUUCAUCUCCUCGUGUGGGCAUUUUAUCACCUCACAUCGUCACAAGAAGACAAAGGGUGAGUACGGGACAAUCAGAUAUGUUGAGAAAGAGAGAGUGUGUGAGAGAGAGAGAGACCACAUUCACACAACUCUUAUCACAGUGUAUUGUUAUAAUUGUUCUAUUUUAUUAUUAGAUAUUAUUGUUAAUCUCUUACUGUGCCUAACUUACAAAUUAAGCUUUAUCAUAGGUACGUGUGUAGAGGAGAAAACCUUUAUCAUAGGUACGUGUGUAUAGGGUUGCGUAUUACCUGGGGUUUCAGGCAUCCGCGGGGGUCUGGAACAUAUCCCCAUGGAUAAGGGGGGAACUACUGUAAUACUUAACAAUUAUACAGUGAUCACUCUGCAUUCCCCGAAGCCCUUGGCAUGUAUCCACCCCUCCACUCCUCACGGUACCCCACAGAAGCCCGCCUCAUCACCCCCAUUUUAUAGAUGACGAAACUGAUCCACUCUGUCCAGUCAGCAGGCUGGGGAAGAGGAUGCGCUCGCUUGGGAGGCCUUUACUGGGCGGGGUCUGGGAGCGAUGACGUCACCUCUGCUCACCGUCAUUGGCUGGAACCCAGUCACAUGCUCACACGUGCCUGCAAGGGAAGCUGGGAGAUGUAGUCUCUCUACGCUCUCAGGGGAAACCAGAGAUGGGAUUUGCUCGCUGAUUUUGAGGCAAGCUCCGCGCUAAUGCCAUUGAGGCCCCAGAAGGAGAUGCUAUGAACAAAGUCACGCAGCGGCUGGAGGGACAGUGGGUGGAGGUGGGGUCUGGAGCCUGAAGACAGGUUUUAAGGCCUUGGCUGCGUGGUAUUGUGCGACUCACUUUUCUCUGAGCCUCACUGUAUUGUAAUAGGGCGAUGCUUAUUUGCCAGCGUAUUUGUGUGCCUAAAAUGAGAUAACACGGCCACCCAGGGCGGGCCCUCUGCGUGUUAAUUCGGUCGGAAUCAAAACCCGUGUUGGGGGUUCUCACCCAGGACUGCACGUUUGACUCACCCCCGGGGAGAUUUUUUAAAAGACCCGUCUGAAUCAUGCGUACAGGAGUGAGGCUUUUACCAGGUGGAACAACUUUCUGCCAGCUAAGGUGACAUGUGGCCGUUGGCAUUUGAACAGGUCGCUUUGCGGGACGGGCAAGAGACAGUUAAGUGCCACCUUGGGGCUAUUACUCUCAGCAGGAGGAGAGUAGCUACGUGCUUGUGGCUUUGCUUGUUCACUUGGUGUUUCCCUGGAGAUGAGGGGAGAGGUCGGGGCCCACGGGGUGUCUAUUUAUCAGAACACUCACUACGUAGCAGGCACACUGCGCCUACUUUACAUAUCGCUCCACGUGGCGCUUUACAAGUGUUAACUCAAUUAAGUCCCCACCACGACCCUCUAAGGUUGGCACCAUUACUCUCCUUGCUUUGCAAAUGGGGAAACUGAGGCACAAGGCACUAAGUAAAUUGCUCAGGGUCCCACAGCUGGUGAGCGGCAGAGCCGGGUUUCGGUGGACGCCCAGUGGCCAGGCUUUGGCAUCUGUGCUUCUCCUGACUGCUGUCCCGCACUUGGGGUGAGCAGCGGUCUUGGUUUUCCGGGGACUGAAGUCUGUCCCAGGAUGGAUGAGGAGCUUUGAUGACUGGGACGGUCCUGGGCAAACUGGAACAGUUGGUGAUCCUGGCUGGGAUUGUCCUCAAGUGUCACGGAAGAUUGAAGAUGGUUGAUAAUGAAUGUGUGUGUGUGUGUGUGUGUGUGUGUGUGUGUGUAUCCCCCUCCCCCCAACCCUGGCAAUAAAACAUGCAAGGGCCGUGUUGGAUGAUUAAAAAGUUUGGGGCACCUGGGUGGCUCAGUCGGUUAAGCAUCCAACUUCAGCUGAGGUCGUGAUCUCACGGUUGGUGAGUUCGAGCCCCGCGUUGGGCUCUGUGCUGACAGCUCGGAGCCUGGACC